UGCAACUCUGCCUAGAAGGCCAGCAUCCCGGAGUCGCUUCUUCACUGUUGACAUUGAGACUGGUGUUUUGCAGAGUACCAAUCCAUUUAUAUAUGGCGAAUAACGGUUUUUGCACAUUUUUAACAGAGCUCACCUUGUUAUCUCAUCACCCAACACUCUUUUCACGUUACCUUUUCUUUCUUUCUCUCUCUAUCUCUCUCUUUCGGAGUGUGUCGAGAACAGUAAGAAUAUGGCGGGACGGGAUCGGUCCGAUGCAGAUGGAGUCUGUGCUGAGAUGAAGUCCUUGACUCAUGGAUGAAGGACUUUUACUUGAAAAACCAAACCUGAAGACAGAAACCAAAGGAAUACAUCUCAGCUGGCCCUGACCCCAUCCUCUAUGAUGCAACUGUCCCACUAAAACCUGGGCAACGUGGCCAAAGGCUCCUUCAUCAUCCCCCUGGUGGAGAUCCCUGGCCUCAUCCUCACCUACAUC